AUAAGUAUGCUUGACCCAAAUUUAGGAAGUUGAUAAGUAGUAAUAUUUAUUUUUACAACUCUAGUUUUAAUCCUAAAUUACCCCGUACUUAUCUAUAUAGCAGUAUAAAUAUUAACUAGUAUAGUGUAAGAUAACAAGGAAGACCGGUGUUAAUCAACAGAGGCGUGGUGUGAUUCUUCCGUGUGCAAGCAGGGCAUCACCUGUGUUAAAGUUACAAUACAGAAUAGAGUCUUAGACUAAUAAAAGUGGAAGAAGCCUCUGCACUAUUAUAGUAUAGGGUGCCUAUUGUUAAAGAGGUUUAUAAUUAUUCGUACUUGUUGCUAUAUAUUCUUCGGGGGAUCUCUUAAUUAAGAUUAAUAAGGAGCAGCGACGAGUCAAUUUUUGGAUUGAUUAUUAUUAUCGAGGUAAUCAGGGGUAGCGGGGAGAGUGAUGAGUGACACCCACUCUAGUUUCUUUUUUGUUAGGGGCUAAUAAGACUUUAGAACUUAUAUUCAUGUUGAUCUAAGACUUUGUUGGAUUUAUUAUUAUGCAGUUUCAGACUUUAUUAUGACAAUUGGUUU